rnacentral:tRNA from 1 species
GGGGUUGUGGCUCAGUGGUAAAGCGCUCGCUUAGCAUGUGUGAGGCAUUGGGUUCGAUUCUCAGCACCACUU